rnacentral:rRNA from 1 species
AUUGAACGCUAGCGGGAUGCCUUACACCUGCAAGUCGAACGGAGUGGUGAACGGGUGAGUAAUGUAUUGGAACGUGCCCAGUAGCGGGGGAUAACUACGCGCAAGCGUAGCUAAUACCGCAUACUAUUGGAGCGGCCGAUAGCGGAUUAGCUAGUUGGUGGGGUACCGGCUCACAAAGGCGACGAUCCGUAGCCGGUUUGAGAGGACGACCACCCAAACUGGGACUGAGACAGGGCCAAGACUCCUACGUGAGGCAGCCGUGGGGAAUUUUGGGCAAUGGGGGAAACCCUGAUCCAGCCAUCCCGCGUGUGCGAUGAAGGCCUUCGGGUUGUAAAGCACUUUUGGCAGGAAAGCGGUACCUGCAGAAGAAGCACCGGCUAACUACGUGCCAGCAGCCGCGGUAAUUC